GACGAACGCUGACGGCGUGCUUAACACAUGCAAGUCGAAGGGAGUGGCGGACGGGUGAGUAACACGUGGGUAACCUGCCCUUGUCUUUGGAAUAAGCCUGGGAAACGGGGUCAAAUACUGAUUGGGAUGGGAGGGGCUCGCGGCUUAUCAGAGUGUUGGUGGGGUGAUGGCUUACCGAGGCUUUGAUGGGUGGCCGGCUUGAGAGGGGGGUCGGUCACAGUGGGACUGAGCUACGGCCCAGACUCCUACGGGAUGCAGCAUUGGGGGAUAUUGCACAAUGGAUGAUAGUCUGAUGCAGCGACGUCGUGGGGGGGAUGCAGGCCUUCGGGUUGUAACCUCCUUUCGGCCGCGGAACGGUAGUGGGUAAAGAAGCGCCGGCUAACUACGUGCCAGCAGCCGCGGUAAUUC
rnacentral:rRNA from 1 species